rnacentral:rRNA from 1 species
UCUGGUUGAUCCUGCCUGAACUGAUGUGUUCAUUUCAAAGAUUAAGCCAUGCAUGUAUAAGUAUAAUCUGCCAGUCAGAGAAACUGCGUACGGCUCAUUACACCAGCCUUAAUUUACUUGACCUUGACACCCUACUUGGAUAACUGUGGUAAUUCUAGAGCUAAUACAUGCACCAAAGCUCCAAUCUCCCCAGAGCGGAGCGCAUUUGUUCGCCACAAAACCAAGCGCCUCAGGGCGUUCAGUGUUGACUCAGAACAACUAAGCUGAUCGCACGGUCUUGCACCGGCGACGUGUCUUUCAAGUGUCUGCCUUAUCAACUUUCGAUGGUAGUGUAUCUGACUACCAUGGUGAUGACGGGUAACGGAGGAUAAGGGUUCGACUCCGGAGAAGGGGCCUGAGAAAUGGCCACUACGUCUAAGGAUGGCAGCAGGCGCGCAAAUUACCCACUCUCGACGCGAGGAGGUAGUGACGAGAAAUAACGAGACCGUUCUCAUCUGAGGCCGGUCAUCGGAAUGGGUACAAUUUAAACCCUUUAACGAGUAUCUAUGAGAGGGCAAGUCUGGUGCCAGCAGCCGCGGUAAUUCCAGCUCUCAAAAAAAGCUCUCAAAAGCGCGCCGGGCGUGAGGCGCAGAUCCUCUAUGGAUCGGUAAUUAAGUACCGCUAGUGCCAGUGGGGGGAUCAAAGUCAAAUCGUCUUAGGUUACGGAUUGGCUCCCGACCCAUAAGUGCUAAGGCCUUUGGGCUCAUGGUAAGCGCCGGGCGGGUAAGGCGACUUAUAAAGUUCCGCUAUAUGUUAGGAAGGCAUCCAGCAUUAGUGGUCGCCACCUUUUCCACUUGUAAUUCUAGGCAUGUAGUUCAUAAGUUAAGAUGAACAACAAACGCUUUGUGAAGAAGGCAUUUGAGCCUAGCAUCGUCGUGCCGCCCCUGUCCUUCACCUUUGACCAGUUCUUCAAGGGUGUGACCAUUGAGGAGGGUCGCGUGAUGGUGGACGUGGACGCGCAUGUCCAAAAGCUCGUGCGUGUGAAGAACGCCUGGCUCCAUUCAUCUAGGAAGCGCCAGGUGAGGAGUACUCGUUGCCUUCUUUACUCCUCUGUGUAAGGGCGAGUCGGGGAGCAGUGGCACCUCGUCGAGCUUGAGCGCAGGGGACGUGGAGAAGAUCGUGAACGAGAAGCUGGAGGCCGAGCGAGCGGAGGCCAAGCA